CUGGAAUCGCUAGUAAUCGCAGGUCAGCAUACUGCGGUGAAUACGUUCCCGGGUCUUGUACACACCGCCCGUCACACCAUGGGAGCCGGAACUGCCCGAAGCCAGUGACCCAACCUUAGGGAGGGAGCUGUCGAAGGUGGAGCCGGUAACUGGGGUGAAGUCGUAACAAGGUACC
rnacentral:rRNA from 1 species